AACGGCCGCGGUAUAUUGACCGUGCAAAGGUAGCAUAAUCAUUAGUCUUUUAAUAGAAGGCUGGAAUGAAAGGCUUGACGAGAAAUUGACUGUCUCAUUUUAAUUUAUAGAAUUUAGCUUUUAAGUUAAAAGGCUUAAAUGUUGUUGGAAGACGAGAAGACCCUAUAGAGCUUUAUAUUUUAUUAUAUAAUAUUUAUUGUAUAUAAAUUGGUAUUAAUUAAUAAUUUAAUUUGUUGGGGUGACUAAAAUUUAUGAUUAACUUUUAUAUAAUUAUACCACUAAUUUGUGAUUAAUAGAUCCGUUAUUAGCGAUUAAUAGAAUAAGUUACCUUAGGGAUAACAGCGUAAUCCUCCUUUGGAGUUCAUAUUUACGGGAGGGCUUGCGACCUCGAUGUUGGAUUAAGAUAAUAGUUGGGUGUAGUAGCUUAAUAAAUAGGUCUGUUCGAC
rnacentral:rRNA from 1 species